rnacentral:rRNA from 1 species
CUUUCCCUCUUUCUUCAGGCUUAACACAUGCAAGUCGAGCGGUAGCACAGGGGAGCUUGCUCCCUGGGUGACGAGCGGCGGACGGGUGAGUAAUGUCUGGGAAACUGCCUGAUGGAGGGGGAUAACUACUGGAAACGGUAGCUAAUACCGCAUAACGUCGCAAGACCAAAGAGGGGGACCUUCGGGCCUCUUGCCAUCAGAUGUGCCCAGAUGGGAUUAGCUAGUAGGUGGGGUAAUGGCUCACCUAGGCGACGAUCCCUAGCUGGUCUGAGAGGAUGACCAGCCACACUGGAACUGAGACACGGUCCAGACUCCUACGGGAGGCAGCAGUGGGGAAUAUUGCACAAUGGGCGCAAGCCUGAUGCAGCCAUGCCGCGUGUGUGAAGAAGGCCUUCGGGUUGUAAAGCACUUUCAGCGAGGAGGAAGGUGGUGAGCUUAAUACGUUCAUCAAUUGACGUUACUCGCAGAAGAAGCACCGGCUAACUCCGUG